rnacentral:rRNA from 1 species
CAUUGCCAUGCAUGCCCGCACACCCGGGAGGCGGCGGACGGCUCAGGACAACGGUUGCACCCCCCGCGGCAAAGGUCGGUGCUAGCCGGACACCGCUGGCAACCCGGCCGCAAGACGUGCGCCCAAGUGCGGGCGCCCGCGGGCCC